rnacentral:rRNA from 1 species
GCCAGACUCCUACGGGAGGCAGCAGUGAGGAAUAUUGGUCAAUGGGCGGGAGCCUGAACCAGCCAAGCCGCGUGAGGGAAGAAGGUACAGCGUAUCGUAAACCUCUUUUGUCAGGGAACAAAGGCGGGGACUAGUCCCCGGAUGAGGGUACCUGAAGAAAAAGCAUCGGCUAACUCCGUGCCAGCAGCCGCGGUAAUACGUAGGGAGCGAGCGUUGUCCGGAAUUACUGGGUGUAAAGGGAGCGUAGGCGGGACUGCAAGUUGGGUGUCAAAUCUACCGGCUCAACCGGUAGCCGCACUCAAAACUGCAGUUCUUGAGUGAAGUAGAGGCAGGCGGAAUUCCUAGUGUAGCGGUGAAAUGCGUAGAUAUUAGGAGGAACACCAGUGGCGAAGGCGGCCUGCUGGACGACAACUGACGGUGAGGCGCGAAAGCGUGGGGAGCAAACAGGAUUAGAUACCCGCGUA